GACGAACGCUGGCGGCGUGCUUAACACAUGCAAGUCGAACGGAAAGGCCCUGCUUUUGUGGGGUGCUCGAGUGGCGAACGGGUGAGUAACACGUGAGUAACCUGCCCUUGACUUUGGGAUAACUUCAGGAAACUGGGGCUAAUACCGGAUAGGAGCUCCUGCUGCAUGGUGGGGGUUGGAAAGUUUCGGCGGUUGGGGAUGGACUCGCGGCUUAUCAGCUUGUUGGUGGGGUAGUGGCUCACCAAGGCUUUGACGGGUAGCCGGCCUGAGAGGGUGACCGGCAACAUUGGGACUGAGAUACGGCCCAGACUCCUACGGGAGGCAGCAGUGGGGAAUAUUGCACAAUGGGCGGAAGCCUGAUGCAGCAACGCCGCGUGCGGGAUGACGGCCUUCGGGUUGUAAACCGCUUUCGCCUGUGACGAAGCGUGAGUGACGGUAAUGGGUAAAGAAGCACCGGCUAACUACGUG
rnacentral:rRNA from 1 species